UACGUAGGGUGCAAGCGUUAAUCGGAAUUACUGGGGGUAAAGCGUGCGCAGGCGGUUUUGUAAGUCUGACGUGAAAUCCCCGGGCUCAACCUGGGAAUUGCGUUGGAGACUGCAAGGCUAGAAUCUGGCAGAGGGGGGUAGAAUUCCACGUGUAGCAGUGAAAUGCGUAGAGAUGUGGAGGAACACCGAUGGCGAAGGCAGCCCCCUGGGUCAAGAUUGACGCUCAUGCACGAAAGCGUGGGGAGCAAACAGG
rnacentral:rRNA from 1 species